rnacentral:snRNA from 1 species
GUCGCUUCUCGGCCUUUUGGCUAAGAUCAAGUGUAGAUCGCUUCUCGGCCUUUUGGGUAAGAUCAAGUGUAGUAUCGUGUGACCUGCC